rnacentral:rRNA from 1 species
AAGAGACAGCAGCCGCCACGGUAAUACGAGGGGGGCAAGCGUUGUUCGGAAUUAUUGGGCGUAAAGGGUGCGUAGGCGGUUUGAUAAGUCUUGUGUGAAAUCUAUGGGCCCAACCCAUAGUCUGCACAGGAAACUGUCGGGCUUGAGAGUGGGAGAGGUGAGUGGAAUUUCCGGUGUAGCGGUGAAAUGCGUAGAUAUCGGAAGGAACACCUGAGGCGAAAGCGGCUCACUGGACCAUUUCUGACGCUGAUGCACGAAAGCUAGGGGAGCAAACAGGAUUAGAUACCCCUGUAGUCCCUGUCUCUUAUAC